GGAAACACCCACUACUUUGUGGCUUAAACAAAUACUCAUUUUGCUUACAAAUCUGCAAUUUGGUCAGGACUCAACAGAGACAGCUUGUCUGUGUUCCCCUUUGCCUCAGCUGAAAGGAGCUGCAGUCACCCAUGUGUGAAGAAGGCUCUUUCAUUCACUUGUCUGGAGCCUGGGCCGAUUCAAACAUCUGGAGACUGGAACAUCUGGGGCUCCUUGGACGACUACCUCUUUGUGGUUUCUCCAUGUAGUCUCUCUAGCGGAUGGCUGUAUUCUAUUUGGUGGUGCCACAACUGAACUGCCACACUGUUAACCAGAGGACAGAAGAUGGGGGAUGCAGGCCUCCAAUUCCCCUCCUCCAGAUGCAAGAACAUCUUGGCCAAAAUCGCUUCCUUGGAAGAGAAGGAGAAAGGGAAGCCGACUAGAACAGCUUUCUUGACAGGUUACAGCUUAUUUCUUUCCAUCAGGCAUUCAACCAAAGAUAGUUUGGCAACCACAAUGGACUAGGUACAGGCUACCCACUAGGGGAGGAUAUUAGAAUGAGAAAACAUAAGCCACUGCUCCCUGGAGCACAGGGAGAUUGUAAUGGACAAAAGAGUGGAAUGAACUGGGCCUGGCACUGCACUGUGCUAGGAGUUCUCUCAAACAACUUCUCAUUUAGUCUUCUCAAGUUUUGCUUCCUCAUCUCCUUCAAAUCAUUACCCAACUAUCUCUUUUGCAGUGAAACUUUGUUGGAUCACUUUGGAUCAACAUGUCAAAAGCUAAACUCCUGAUAUUUUCCCCAGCCUAUUCCUCCCAGAGUUUUCCCCAUUUCAAUAAAGAACAAUUCCGCACUUACAGUUGCUCAAGCCAGAAAUGGAAUUGACUGAACCCAAAUUUAAUCCAUCAAAAGUCCUACCGGUCUUGCGUUUAAAAUACAUCCAAAAUACUGCCACUUCACCUCCAUCCUCUAUUGCUACCAUCCCGGUCCAAGUCACCAUUACUCCUUGCCUGAGUUAUUGCAGUAGUCUCCCAGCUGCCCCCGAGUUUCUCCCCUAGUCCUUCGUUAGACUAUUCUUUUUGUAGACUGUUCUUGACAGCACCCAGAAUGAUUUUGUUAAAUAGAAGUCUGAUGAAGUCACUCCUCUGCUCCAACCUGGCUUCCUAUGUCAUUCUGAAUAGAAGCUAAAGUCCUUGUAAUAAUCCAAGCUCCUGACUUGCCUGACCAACUUAAACUAUCUGCUUUUCUUUUUGCUUCCCCCUCACUCGCACCUCCCGCCCACACUAGUACCAGCCCACUUGGCACUUUGUACUGGAAUUCUUUCUCCAUUUGGUCACAUGGCUUGUUUCUUUACUUCCUUCACAUCUUUAAUAACCUCUUACUUUCUCACUAGGCUUAGCUGACUUCCCUUAUCUAACAUACUCAUUUUGCCCAUCUCCCUGUUUUACAUUGACAUCUCUACAUUUUCCUAUUUUUAUCUUGUUUUUUGUCUCUCCCAUCAGAAUGUAAACUUCAUAAAGAUAAGGAUUUUUGUGUAUUGGGCUCUGCUAUAUCCCUAGGGCCUAGAGCAGUCCCAGGCACGUGUCAGGCUUUCAAUGUUAUUUGAGCAAAUGAAUGGAUUAAAGAAUAAAUAAAUGAAUAAAUAAAAUUGCAACCCCACAUAAUUAUUCUCUACGUGGCCUUUCUAAUUCAUUUUCUCCAUAAAAUUUAUCACUCUUCAAUAUACACUUAUGCUACAAAUUUAUGUAUUGUUUGGUCUGCUGUCUAAUUUUCCCUACUAAAAUAUAAAUGUCAUAAGAUCUGGGAUUUCUGUCGUGUUCACAAAUAUGCCCUUAUCAUCAAGAAGAAUACUUGGCUCUUACAUGUCAUAAAUAUGUAUUGAAUGAGUGAUUUCUGUGAUGCAUAGUUAGUACAUUUUGCAGAUGAGGAGACCGACUCUUCUUAGUGAGACUGAAUAGAUUUUGCAUAGUUACUUACACAACCAGCAUGCAGCAAGGUUAGGGUUAGCAUUUGGAUCGUUAUGACCCAAAGGCUGUGCCCUCACAGUAAACUUUCUGUCUAGUCAUGAAGGCAGGUGAGGUGGUACUAAAGGAAGGACAGGAUAGUUUCCUCUGCUGUAGAGUUCAUUCUUGCCUCUUCUCCUAGCUAACCAUCAAGAAGCAUGAAUCAUAACUGGAGUAUCUCAUCCUCUGGAAAGCCUACUGUCAAUCCCCAUGCCUGCCUGUAGGGUUCUGGUUAUACUACUUCCUGUUAUAGAGGAGCUACCUCCUGCACAAGCUGGCAUGGCCAUUGUUUAUUAUUCUUUUGUGUUCUCUGCUAGGUUGUAAAGUUUGUAUGGGCAGUUGUCAUUUCUCUCUUGUUCAGUUGUACAUCAGUCCUACCACAUGAUCUAAUUCAUUUUAGGUGCCCAAUUAAGGCUGGUUAGUUCAGUGUAGAAGUGGAAGGAAGAUUCAGGCAGAGGAAAUCACUGAACAGGAGUCAAAAAAUUAGGGAGGGUAAGUAGGGCUAUGUGUCUGAGGCAGAGUCUUUGAUGGGGUAAUAAUGUGGGAUGCACUGGAAUGGUGAGUAAACAGAAAUUGCAGAAAAUAAUGGAAGUUCUGGACACAAAAGUUGUCUUUGAAAAGCUAUGUGGACACCACUGAAUUUACAUUGACCAGAAUCACACAAUCCUCUUGCAGAAGAUUAAUCUGAUAGUGAUGGUGAAUUGAAAGGAGAAAGGGAAAGGCAGAAUCUGCUCCAAAGCCCAACUAUAAAGGUGAAAAAUAUCCCAACUGAAUGGUGGCAGUGGGAUUGGAAUGGGGUAACAGAUGAGAAAUAUUUUUAGGACAGAUUCAAUGGGCUUUAGUGAGUAAAAGGAUCUUGAAUACAAAAGAGACGAGAGAAUUGGUUCCAAGGCUUUGAAUCAGGGUGGCUGGAAGAAGAGCAGUGUGUUUAAUAGAAAAAGGUGGGGGGAUUGGAAAGAGAAGAUAAUUGGAUAGAAAGGGAAUGAAUUUUAGCUUCAGGCAUUUCAAUCUGGAAACAUUCACAGAACAUUCUAGUGGAAAUGAAUCGAACUGCAAAUCCAGGACUAAAAUUCAAGAGCAAUGUCUCCGUGAGAAUCCUUAAACAGCCUCGCCUGCAUAAGAGUAGAUGAAUUAACGCUUGGUUUGCCAACAGUUUAAUGGUUGCAGAUAUUAAAAUUUUUGAACUUUGUUUAGAGAGUUGUUUCACUUUCAAAAAAUAUUUAGUGAUCUUUUCUUAUUUAAAGGGGCAAAACUCCAGGUAGGUUAGAGUGUACUUUUUCACACCUGUAAUCUUUGGAGUCCUAGGGCUCUUGACGCUUGGUUGGAAUGGGAGUUGGUCUUGUGGACAUUUGGCACACUGGUGGAGAAAGACACAUAAUAUUGGUUUGUGAAGAUCUGUUCAAAUACUGAAAUGAACAGUUUAUUAGCAGAUCUCUAGGACUUUAGCACUGUGCACAAAUCCGCAAAGUUUACAUUAUCUGACAGCUCAAAGGAAGCUACUUUGUACAGCCAGCAAUGGAGUAGAACUACACUGUUUAUACUUUUCACUAAAAAUAGAUAUGCAAGGUUUUAAUUCUGUCUACAAUUUUAAAAUAUCUGAUACAAUGGGGCAAAAUGUUAAUAUUUUUAAAAUCUGAGUGGUAGAUACUUGGAUAUUUGUUAUAUUAUUUUCUGCAGUCUUUUGUGUACUUAAAAUACAGUAGUUUAUAAUUUUUAAAAAGGAGAAAACUUUCAAAAACAGAUAUGCCAAACAGAGCAGAAGACUGAGAUUCUGAGGCUCGGGCAAGUCUGGGAAGUUGACCUGUGGAAGCAAUGGAGUGACCCUGCUUUCCAAAGUGCCUGUCCUCUCCAAGAACAAAAGGCCAUGUGGGUGACUGGACCGUUAGAAGUCAUGGGGUAAAGAGGGAGGUAGUCAUUCUUUUCUCAGCCUGUGGGUCACAUGAUGUCUGUAAUAUUCCUCUUGGUGUCAGCCACCAGCCUGGGAAGUCACGUAUCCACCACUGGUGGUUAGAUGUCAGCGUGCUCUGGUGUUCAGAAUUACUUGUAACUCAAGCACAGUGUCAGAGGAGCCUCCUCUAUGUCCACCCCUACACUGUGUUCCUGAAGUCAGGUGUGGGUCUAAGAACAGGGUCAUUUCCGAGCCAGCGGACAAAGCAUGCUGUGAGUCUCAGGGACUAUUCUUCAAGGGCAGUGUGACUGUGUGACCUGGGGGGAGGUAGGGAAAUAGCUCCCUAUGACAGUUCCUCCGUGCCUUUCCCACAGGGCCCAACACUUUGCUCCUUCCUCUGGACAACCCAAGAGCCUCUUUCUGAUUCAGCAUUUCCCACAGCUAACAAACAACUCUUCCUUCUGUCCUGUUUCUUCUUUCAUGCAGGCCUGUGUUGGAAACAAUGUCUGAAAAACAUUAGCCAAACCAACCAUGUGGUAGGCCCGAUGUGGUGGCAGCAAUAUUCUAGGAAAUCAGUUUUUCAGACUAAAUACACCAGAAACCAAAUUUGAAAGAGAUGGGUCCCUGGACACUGCCUGUGAGCCUUAGGCUUCUACUAGGAGAAGCAAUCAUGAUGGUACAAAAAGGGUGACUAUUUCACUCAAGCCAGAACUGAAGUGGAAAUCUCUCUGAUAAAAUAUUUUUCAAUAAGCUGAAGCAAACUUGCCCUUUGAAUUUCAAGGCUUUGAAAAUAAUUAGUAUCUAGUUCAUACUUCAUCUGCUCUGGGACAAAAACUCUCCUGUAGGCCCCAUGAAAGGCCCCUUUGGACUUCUCAAGCAGCCCCCUUAGAAGGGACAAAUAAAAUCCAUUUCUUCUGGGCUUUGUGUCACUUCUCUGAUCCUGGGCUUGUCCAGAUUGCUGCCUCUUCUGUCAGAUCACACAAGCCUGCAUUCUUUCUGCCAGGCCUGCUGAUCAACCCCUUCUUCCAGCCAACAUGCCACUCUGUGAGCCAGUAGCCCUCCUCUUUCCCACUGCACGAUUAGGAACAGUUUCAGUGUUCACAGCUUUUCCUUCCUGUGCCUGUCAUUUCCCCCACGAACACAAGCUGCUUUGCAGCCUCGUCACACGCAUGGCACCAGUACUGAGACAGGUCGGGCGUAUGGUGCUGAUCAAAUUUGCUGUACUAAAUUGCCAGAACUUUCUGGAACAAAUAAAAAUUUAACAUUCAGCUUUUGGAGCACUCCUGAAACCAGACUUUCUAAAGUCUGCUUCAUUUCCAUCAAAGCAUUCAAGUCCUGAAUUUCACUCUGGAAGAUGAAUGAUCAGAGAUUUUAAAAGACAUACUGAUUGCAUCUCUCAUCUUUAGCUUCUUAGGAUCACUGGAAUCACAGUGCUUCUUGGAGUCCUUGGGCUUUGAAGGUCAACAUCAUUGAGUUUUCAUUCCAACUGAGGAACUCUGGAAAAUUACCAACAGAUCUUCAUUCUUCUGGUGGUUCAUAUUUACCACUCUUUCCCUAUAUUUUCCUUCAUGUACAAUUUAUAAGAAUACAUGGGGUUUUUUUCUCCCUGUGGUCAAAUUUGUGUUCAACAUAGUAAGCAAAAUGGCCUGGAAUCUCUUUGCCAUGAUUGUUACUUGUUGCAGGUACAAAGGCAACUGUAGAGGUUUCUAUGAUUAUUAACAGAAAUCAUCUUUGUACUACUGCUGCUCCAGGGGAGCAGGAUGUAGGAGCAGAGCCCAAGUCAGGCCUGGCCAUACAUUGAGAAGAACAGAUAAUGAGUUUCCUCCGAAAGAUUUCAGUCUUCCUGGCUAGGGGAGAAUGAAUCCCUCCACUGCAGCCCCAUCUUGUAGACCAUAAAGGAAAAUCCAACUGAUGUGUUCUAUUUGCUAAACCAAAACAUUUGAAAUUGUCCUCUUUUAGGUUAAAAAAUGCUUAAUAUCCUCAAGCACAUUCGUUACUUAGGACUGGAUGAAGUUCCUAAGGGCACAUAGAUGCACUAAAGUUAAAAACAAAAGGUGACAGGUUGGGAAAUAACAUAAUCCAUCUAGGCCCAGAUACAUGUUUUGGUAAACAGCAUCUGAAGGAAUAAAGAAGAUACCAGGUCAAAAUUAAUUUUAUAAAAACUAAUAUAAAAAAGGAAGCAACCACAAGUGAGAUACCCAAGGGUUAUUACGUACACGAGUCAUUUUUCCAAAGCCCUCAUCUUGGAAGCUGUCUUCCUCGGACCCUGUCCAGCAAAAAAACUGCUGGUUAUAUUUUUGAGUGCUACAGCACUUGUAAACUGCAUGAUUUGUUUGUUAUCAAAUAAAAACCAGAGUCUUUCUAAAUUAAACCAACUCUCCUUUCUCAAGUUUUAUCUUCUUAUGCGGGGCACAGAAAGUUGCAGUCUUUCCAAUAUAAAUCUCUGCCAACACCAGCUAAUAUUAAGUAAAUGUGUGGGAUCAACAACCUAGGGUUGUUCAAAUUUUUUUCAAGUCUCUCCCAUGCAUGGUUCAUCAGGAUCCUAACCUCUUUCCCCAGGCUCCCAGCUCCAAAAUUAUAUGACUCUAGUUGCUUUGGCAGCAAUUCAGAGGAAAGAGAGGAUUGGGAGGAAGGAGGGGGAAAAAAGGUAAUUACUUAUGCAAUGUCCC
ensembl:lncRNA